GUAGGUGGCAAGCGUUGUCCGGAGUUAUUGGGCGUAAAGCGCGCGCAGGCGGUUUUUUAAGUCUGAUGUGAAAGCCCACGGCUCAACCGUGGAGGGUCAUUGGAAACUGGAGAACUUGAGUACAGAAGAGGAAAGCGGAAUUCCACGUGUAGCGGUGAAAUGCGUAGAGAUGUGGAGGAACACCAGUGGCGAAGGCGGCUUUCUGGUCUGUAACUGACGCUGAGGCGCGAAAGCGUGGGGAGCAAACAGGGAUUAGAUACCCUGGUAGUCCACGCCGUAAACGAUGAGUGCUAAGUGUUAGGGGGUUUCCCGCCCCUUAGUGCUGCAGCUAACGCAUUAAGCACUCCGCCUGGGGAGUACGGCCGCAAGGCUG
rnacentral:rRNA from 1 species